UGUGUGGUCUUGGAACUGGUUGCUGUC
rnacentral:piRNA from 1 species